rnacentral:rRNA from 1 species
GAUUGUUCACCCACCAAUAGGGAACGUGAGCUGGGUUUAGACCAUCAUGAGACUGGUUAGUUUUACCCUAUUGAUGAUAGUGUCACAAUAGUAAUUCUACCUAGUAUGAGAGGAACCGUUGAUUUGCACAAUUGGUCAUCGCGAUUGGUUGAAAAGCCAAUGGCACAAAGUUACCGUGCGCUGGAUUAUGACUGAACGCCUCUAAAUCAAAAUUUAGGCUAGAAGCGAUGCAUUCGACUGGCCCAGCCCCCAAAGGCACAUGUCAUUGGUGAAGCUCGCGCAGCUAAUGAGCUGCACGAGCCGCCUUAAAGUACAAUCCCUAUCUCAAGCUGCAGGUAGAAUCCUUUACAGACGAGUUAAUUACGCGAUAGGGUAUUGUAAGUGGCAGAGUGGCCUUGCUGCGAUGAUCUAUUGAGAU